rnacentral:rRNA from 1 species
UUAUUAACACAAUACGAGGAAAGAACCAACAGGGAUUGCCCUAGUAACGGCGAGUGAAGCGGCAACAGCUCAAAUUUGAAAUCUGGCCCUCGGGUCCGAGUUGUAAUUUGUAGAGGAUGCUUUUGGUGCGGUGCCUUCUGAGUUCCUUGGAACAGGACGCCUUAGAGGGUGAGAGCCCCGUACAGUUGGACACCAAGCCUUUGUAAAGCUCCUUCGACGAGUCGAGUAGUUUGGGAAUGCUGCUCUAAAUGGGAGGUAAAUUUCUUCUAAAGCUAAAUAUUGGCCAGAGACCGAUAGCGCACAAGUAGAGUGAUCGAAAGAUGAAAAGUACUUUGAAAAGAGGGUUAAAUAGCACGUGAAAUUGUUGAAAGGGAAGCGUUUAUGACCAGACCUUCGUCGGGCGGAUCAUCCGGUGUUCUUCACCGGUGCACUUCGCCCGGCUUAGGCCAGCAUCGGUUUCUGCAGGGGGAUAAAGGCCCGGGGAAUGUGGCUCCCUACGGGGAGUGUUAUAGCCCCGGGCGUAAUGCCUUUGCGGGGACCGAGGUUCGCGCUCCGGCAAGGAUGCUGGCGUAAUGGUCAUCAACGACCCGUCUUGAAACACGGACCAAGGAGUCGAACAUUUAUGCGAGUGUUUGGGUGUUAAACCCUUGCGCGUAAUUAAAGUGAACGUAGGUGAGAGCCCGUACGGGUGCAUCAUCGACCGAUCUUGAUGUCUUCGGAUGGAUUUGAGUAAGAGCAUAACUGUUCGGACCCGAAAGAUGGUGAACUAUGCGUGGAUAGGGUGAAGCCAGAGGAAACUCUGGUGGAGGCUCGCAGCGGUUCUGACGUGCAAAUCGAUCGUCAAAUCUGCGCAUGGGGGCGAAAGACNUAUCGAACAUCUAUAGKGGUACGCG